UGAAAGAAAGACGGCUUUGCUGUCGCUUAUAGAUGAUCCCGCGGCGUAUUAGUUAGUUGGUGGGGUAAUGGCCUACCAAGACCAUGAUACGUAGCCGACCUGAGAGGGUGAUCGGCCACACUGGGACUGAGACACGGCCCAGACUCCUACGGGAGGCAGCAGUAGGGAAUCUUCCACAAUGGGUGCAAACCUGAUGGAGCAAUGCCGCGUGAAUGAAGAAGGUCUUCGGAUCGUAAAGUUCUGUUAUUAGGGAAGAACAAGUCAAGGAGUAACUGUCUUGACUUUGACGGUACCUAACCAGAAAGUCACGGCUAACUACGUGCCAGCAGCCGCGGUAAUACGUAGGUGACAAGCGUUGUCCGGAAUUAUUGGGCGUAAAGGGAGCGCAGGCGGUUGGAAUAGUCUGAUGUGAAAGCCCACGGCUUAACCGUGGAAGGUCAUUGGAAACUGUCCAACUUGAAUGCAGAAGAGGUAAGUGGAAUUCCAUGUGUAGCGGUGAAAUGCGUAGAUAUAUGGAGGAACACCAGUGGCGAAGGCGACUUACUGGUCUGUGAUUGACGCUGAGGCUCGAAAGCGUGGGUAGCGAACAGGAUUAGAUACCCUGGUAGUCCACGCCGUAAACGAUGAGUGCUAAGUGUUGGAGGGUUUCCGCCCUUCAGUGC
rnacentral:rRNA from 1 species